GCAUCUAUUAUCUCUAUCCGUGAAUAUACUGAGCUUAUCCCGGAGUGUCAAUUUAGACACAUCUCUGCCGGACGUUAUCUUCAUCGACUAUCCACUGAAGCAUCUUGACACCACUUCAAUCUAGCGGCCAAAACUAGGAGUUGUGAUUUCCCUGUUUUUGCUUAAGCUUUUUCGAACCAUAGCUAACUGUUCCCCGACACACAUCCAGCUAGCUUCCGAUCUAGAAUUUCAUUCUUACCUGACUUCAAGGGUCCUCGCCAUCCAAGCUUCCCCGUCAUGGAAAGAACCUUGGCUCUGGUUCCAUUUGUCGUUUGUGCCGGCGAAUAGUGAGACUAAGUACCUUUAGUAAUCGUCACAAAAUCUUUUGAUAGUGACUAGUUCUAAAAUACCUGAAUUGUUCGUGGAAGUCUCUUUGACACACCAAGAACUCGCUUGUGGCAUGUUGCUAGCUAGCUUCUGUCUCUGAGAUUUUAUCAUAAAAUUUUUAUGGGUCUAUCCUCAAUGCU